rnacentral:rRNA from 1 species
CCCUUAGAUGUUCUGGGCCGCACGCGCGCUACACUGACGAAUGCAACGAGCUUAUAACCUUGGCCGAAAGGUCUGGGUAAUCUCCAAAUUUCGUCGUGAUGGGGAUAGAUUAUUGCAAUUAUUAAUCUUCAACGAGGAAUGCCUAGUAAGCGCAAGUCAUCAGCUUGCGUUGAUUACGUCCCUGCCCUUUGUACACACCGCCCGUCGCUCCUACCGAUUGAAUGGUCCGGUGAAUAAUUCGGACCGCGAUAUUGUGGGCAACUGCAAUUUUUGUGGGAAGUUUAGUGAACCUUAUCACUUAGAGGAAGGAGAAGUCGUAACA